UAGAUAGCGGUCAUUUUAACUCACAGACACUGUUCUGACUUUUCAACACGGUGCCAUCUUGCCUGUAUUUGGUGCACAGAGACAUCAUUCAGUAGUUUGAAACUACCAAACAGGGGACACAUUUAUUAGUGACUAUUUUCUGUAUAACUUGUAUAUUUUCGGUGUAACUGGCAUAAAACAUUAUCUAGAAAACUACUGGACGGAUGUGGGUGAAUUUUGGAUAUGUGGUUCACCCAGAUCCCCCGGUUCCGAGGAUAUACUGGUUAUGGGGUUAUUGCAUGUUUUGGGGUUCCUGUGAUAUGUUUUAUAAAACUGUAUUUCUCUGCCUUUGAUAAUUAUAUUCGCCAUUGUGUUCAGUAAUCCUAUCACAGGCCGAGAGGAGGAUUUUGUGUGGGAGUGGUUCCAUUGUCCAAUUGUCCCAUU